UUGUUUAAAUCGUCUGCACCAAUCUUCACUGUUCUACUACCCAUCAAUCACCAUCAUCACCACCACAAGAAAAACAAAAUCCACUCAACAAGAACAGACUCUUCAAAUUCUAACAAAACAACUCAAACCCAGUUCGUUAAAACUCCUGAAAUCCCAAAGCCACAAACAACGUCUCAAUCCAGAGACAUCAAAACUUCAGCUAUCAACUCCCCAG
rnacentral:misc_RNA from 1 species